AAUGGAGGAAACUCUGAUGCAGCGACGCCGCGUGAGUGAAGAAGUAUUUCGGUAUGUAAAGCUCUAUCAGCAGGGAAGAAAAUGACGGUACCUGACUAAGAAGCACCGGCUAAAUACGUGCCAGCAGCCGCGGUAAUACGUAUGGUGCAAGCGUUAUCCGGAUUUACUGGGUGUAAAGGGAGCGUAGGUGGCAAGGCAAGCCAGAAGUGAAAACCCGGGGCUCAACCGCGGGAUUGCUUUUGGAACUGUCAUGCUAGAGUGCAGGAGGGGUGAGCGGAAUUCCUAGUGUAGCGGUGAAAUGCGUAGAUAUUAGGAGGAACACCGGAGGCGAAGGCGGCUCACUGGACUGUAACUGACACUGAGGCUCGAAAGCGUGGGGAGCAAA
rnacentral:rRNA from 1 species